GAUGAAGAACGUAGCGAAAUGCGAUAAGUAAUGUGAAUUGCAGAAUUCAGUGAAUCAUCGAAUCUUUGAACGCUCAUUGCGCCCGCCAGUAUUCUGGCGGGCAUGCCUGUCUGAGCGUCAUUUCAACCCUCAUGCCCCUAGGGCGUGGUGUUGGGGAUCGGCCAAAGCCCGCGAGGGACGGCCGGCCCCUAAAUCUAGUGGCGGACCCGUCGUGGCCUCCUCUGCGAAGUAGUGAUAUUCCGCAUCGGAGAGCGACGAGCCCCUGCCGUUAAACCCCCAACUUUCCAAGGUUGACCUCAGAUCAGGUAGGAAUACCCGCUGAACUUAAGCAUAUCAAUAAGCGGAGGA
rnacentral:misc_RNA from 1 species